AUACGGAGGGUGCAAGCGUUACUCGGAAUCACUGGGCGUAAAGGACGCGUAGGCGGGAAGCCAAGUCUGAUGUGAAAUCCUAUGGCUUAACCAUAGAACUGCAUUGGAAACUGCUAACCUAGAGUAUGGGAGGGGGAGAUGGAAUUAGUGGUGUAGGGGUAAAAUCCGUAGAUAUCACUAGGAAUACCGAAAGCGAAGGCGAUCUCCUGGAACAUAACUGACGCUAAGGCGUGAAAGCGUGGGGAGCAAACAGGAUUAGAAACCCUAGUAGUCC
rnacentral:rRNA from 1 species